AUUGAACGCUGGCGGCAUGCCUUACACAUGCAAGUCGAACGGCAGCGCGGGGCAACCUGGCGGCGAGUGGCGAACGGGUGAGUAAUAUAUCGGAACGUGCCCUGGAGUGGGGAUAACGUAGCGAAAGUUACGCUAAUACCGCAUACGAUCUGAGGAUGAAAGCAGGGGACCUUCGGGCCUUGUGCUCCUGGAGCGGCCGAUAUCUGAUUAGCUAGUUGGUGGGGUAAAAGCCUACCAAGGCGACGAUCAGUAGCUGGUCUGAGAGGACGACCAGCCACACUGGAACUGAGACACGGUCCAGACUCCUACGGGAGGCAGCAGUGGGGAAUUUUGGACAAUGGGGGCAACCCUGAUCCAGCAAUGCCGCGUGUGUGAAGAAGGCCUUCGGGUUGUAAG
rnacentral:rRNA from 1 species